rnacentral:piRNA from 1 species
GAGGCUGAAGGGUUGCUGGUGGAACUCU